rnacentral:lncRNA from 1 species
GGAAGGCAGCAUCGCUAACCCUUGUGGAGAGAGGUGAAAAACCCAAAGACAAACAAGGGCCAGGCCUGCCAAGAAGAGCUGGGACACGGGUUUGGCACCUGGGCCUUGGGCUCUGCCUGGAAAAAGCCAAGGAGUCCUGGAGCUGGCUCUCAGCUGGCAGGAGGACCUGCUGCCAACUCUGCAGAGAUGGGCCAGUUCUGGAAAGAUGAGACAGGUGGGCGUGGGAGCUCCAGGGUGGGCCGCAGGCAGUGCCUGAGCCCUGGCCAUGGCUGCUCUGUGAGCUCUCUGCUGGUGUUUCAGUACUUUCCUAGGUUCAGCAGGAUCUCAACUCUCCAAAGGGAGGGCUCUGCAUCCCCUCUGGGUUGGCUUAGAAACCUGUGUCUGUCACUGAGGGCUCAGGCGGGCCCUGCAGGCAGAUAAGGCCAUGGGUCUGGCUGCAGCCCUCGCCUAGCCACACAUGGACAACAGAGGGUUAACGGCCCUCUCCAGGUGCUGCUCCGUCCAUCCAGACCCUGCACCCCAGGCU